rnacentral:rRNA from 1 species
CCUGGUUGAACCUGCCAGAAGGGCAAGCUUAGAUUAAAGAUUAAGCCAUGCAUGCCAAGUAUAAGCUAUUCUAUGGCGAAACUGCGGACGGCUCAUUAAAUCAGUUGAAAUGCGCGGUACCGGAGGCGUAGUCGGCUAAUACGGGCAACUCUCUUACUAAUCGUGCUAGUAACAUCAGUAGUGAGCUUGCUCGGGUUGAUUUGCGAUGUUGGAAUGACUGUAAGGCGGGUACCACCAGCUUCUGACGCAUCAUCGUGUAGGAGGAGUAAAGGUCCUCCUGCGAGGUAACGCGUACGGGGAAUUAGGGUUCGACUCCGGAGAAUGAGCAUGAGAGACGGCUCAUAGUUCUAAGGGAGGCAGCAGGCGCGGAAAUUGCCCAAUGUACAAACGUACGAGGCAGUGACGAUAAAUCUCGAAUCGGCUUCGGCCGGUAUUGAGCUGACGGAGGAGUAGAGUCCCUCUGGAACGCAAUUAGUGGGAGAGCAUGGUGCCAGCAGCCGCGGUAAUUCCAUCACUGAUAGCUUUCUCUUAUGUUGUUGCAGUUAAAAAGCUCGUAGCCGUUAGUAGCUUGAAACGUGUCACUUUGAGAAAAUCGGAGUGUUCAAAUCAGGGCCACUGCUGUACGCUACAGCAAAGAACGACAUGUCCUUGCAGCGAUGUGAGGAACGGAGUAUAUGGCAGCGCGGGACUGAUAGUAUUUGUUGGGGACAGGUGAAAUAGGAUGAUCCAACAAGGACUCUCGGCAGCGAAGGCGGUCGGUAAGCGCUGUCCAGUUGGUCAAGAGCGAAAGUGUGAGGAUAGACGAUGAUUAGAAACCGUUUUAUUUCACGCCUUAAACGAUACCAUCUCGAAAGCGGGUUCGCUCGCAUUCCUAGGGAAACCGGAAGGUUUCGGGUUCUGGGGGGAGUAUGGUUGCAAGACUGAAACUUGAAGGUAUUGACGGAAAGAUACCACAAGACGUGGAGUCUGCGGCUCAAUUUGACUCAACACGCAAAUCUUACCAGACCCAGAUGCUUUACGGAGCAACAGAUUAAGAGUUCUUUUGCGAUUGGGCAGUUGGUGGUGCAUGGCCGCUCCUAGUUCGUGGUGUAUACUGUCUGCCUUAUUGCGUUAACGAGCGAGACGACCGCCCCAUAGCCAUGGGGGAGUGCUAGCGUUGAGUUAGACGAACGUGGUCGCACUAGCAGGUCUGUGAUGCCCUUAGACACUCUGGGCCGCACGCGUACUACAAUGACGGCGCCAAACCGUAGCUUGGCUCAGAAGCCUGGCUAUACGUGCGAACCGCCGUCGUGGUGGGGAUUGGGGGUUGGAAUUGUCCCCCAUGAACGAGGAAUGUCUUGUAGGUGCGCUUCAUUAUAGCGCGCCGACUGCGUCCCUGUCUUUUGUACACACCGCCCGUCGCUCCUACCGACUUGGAUGUUUUGGUGAGUUGUUCGGACCUGCAGCCGUCAGGCCGCGGGGAAGUUCUGCGAACCCCAAUGUCUGGAGGAAGGAGAAGUCGUAACAAGGCUGCUGUAGGGGAACCUGCAGCCG